CCCAUGUGAAGUUUUCCUCAAAACAAAAUAGCUAUCGUGAUCGGGAAAGUUGGGCCCGGAAUGUAUAUGCGAGAGCACUUUGACAUGCCGCUCUUGAACCGGAAGCACCCUUCCGGAAGAUCUUGCUCCAAUUCCGGCGGAAAUGGUUGUUUUCCGGGAGAUCUUGACUGGCACGGCGUGAUAGAAAUAUGUCGAGAAGCCGGUUCGACAGGUUCCAUAACCCAGACUUUUAUAAGAACAUUUGCUGGUUGCAAACUGGCCAGGAUGUUCCGUCCAAGCAGCAUGACGACAUGAACUUUCAAGUAAGGAUUCCGCUAGAGAGAUGCUGAAAGUGUGGGUAUGUGUCAUAUAAAAAUAACUUGAGCAUAACAUUGUAAGAAAAACGAUCGUUCACAAUA